CUUGACAGCAGCCCACUGCUUCCCAAGCUCUAUGGGUACCACUCCAAGCUACUGGAAAGUGUAUGGUGGAACCGUGUCUUUGAACCAGCUUCCUUCUCCUUACUCGGUUAAGAAAAUCAUUCUCAACAACAAUUACGACAGCAAAACUAACGAUCAAGACAUAGCUCUAAUCCAACUCACAUCACCAGUUACUCUCAGUGAUAACGUUCAACCGGCUUGCCUGCCACUUUCUGAAUUUCCAACAACCAGCUGUUGGACCACAGGUUUUGGCACCACUUCUGAAGGUUCUGGUG